AAAAAAAACUUCCAUAGCGGUUCCCUGUAUAAUUUGAGUGAGGUCCACUUGUAUUGCCCCUUGCGGGAGAUUGCAAGCGCCUACGCUAGGCAAUUCAAGGGAAACAACCUUUUCUUAGUUUGAUUUGAUCCGUCAUAGAAGAAAGGGAGCUCACCUUCAACAAAUGGCCACCUCACGAAAAGUGUAUAGGGAACACCCGUCCAAACUGUGGGGACAUGUCGAGGACGAUCGCCAUUUUUUAUUAUUUUUGUCGUCUGCAACGCCGUCUCGUACACGAUCGCCCCCUAUCCCCGUCCUGUAUGAUGUUCCUGCCAGUGUUCUAGUUCUGUACCUGCAAGAACUCACCAACGGCGCCUACGUGGUGUCGACGUUUUUGGCCUGCGUGGCGUACCUAGGCGCAAACUCGAUGGAAGGUUUUCUGGUGAUGUUGGUGUAUAUCAUGCUGUAUGGUGUUUCGUGGUGGUUGUGGACCUGCUCCCAAAAACCCAUCCCGGGGGUCAGGACCCUGAGGAGUCCUGUCGUGUGAAACACCGGAGUUCAUUGAAAGGAACUAGAAAGGUGGAUGGCGAGAAAAUGUAAUGACUUUG